AUCAUACGUUGAUGACGUCAAUGUAUCGCGAGAGCGAGUCAAGAAAUUACACUCUCGCGGUACAUUGACGUUAUCAACCUGUCAGCGCAGCAAGAAGUCGAGCACACGUAUUUGCGGGCGCGCGCCUCCGUCCUCGUGAGUUCAAAGUGGAUUUUAACCGUUUACCUCCGACGACAGUUUUCAUUUCUAUGGCAAAUUCUAAGGUCAUUUUCUUGUUGUGUUUUGAUGUUUUCCAUUGGCUGAAGACUAAGAUGAGCCUGAAGAGGAGAUUUGGGAAGUCUUUGCUUUGCCAGAUCACCUGUGGUCGGGAUGUCUGCUAACAAGAUGCCUUGUUGGUCUGGGCGAGUUUGAAGUCUCUCACAGACAGUCCAGAAGGUCUGGAGUCCAUCUUAGCUUUUAUUGAUGCUGUCAUCAGAUUUUAAGUACAGUAUGAGCCAGAAUGGAAGGGUGUUGGUGGCCAUAAGAAGACUGUGAGCUAAACCUACAACAAAAUUCAUAUUUGCAGUUUUCCUAGAAUAUUUUUUUCUAUUCAGAUGAAUAAAAUUACUUUAAAAUAUUA